rnacentral:rRNA from 1 species
AACGAACGCUGGCGGCAGGCUUAACACAUGCAAGUCGAACGCCCCGCAAGGGGAGUGGCAGACGGGUGAGUAACGCGUGGGAACAUACCCUUUUCUACGGAAUAGCUCUGGGAAACUGGAAUUAAUACCGUAUACGCCCUACGGGGGAAAGAUUUAUCGGGGAAGGAUUGGCCCGCGUUGGAUUAGCUAGUUGGUGGGGUAGAGGCCUACCAAGGCGACGAUCCAUAGCUGGUCUGAGAGGAUGAUCAGCCACAUUGGGACUGAGACACGGCCCAAACUCCUACGGGAGGCAGCAGUGGGGAAUAUUGGACAAUGGGCGCAAGCCUGAUCCAGCCAUGCCGCGUGAGUGAUGAAGGCCUUAGGGUUGUAAAGCUCUUUCACCGAUGAAGAUAAUGACGGUAGUCGGAGAAGAAGCCCCGGCUAACUUCGUG